CUGAUAUUAGAAGUGCAGACAGUUUUCUAAUCAACUAAGAAAGUUAUCUCUCUUCAUUCAUUAUAAAGUCCUUUUAGAUAUAGCAGCAGCAGUUCUAGGGCUGCGAAGUCCAACUCUGCCACCUCCUCAUGGUGCAGCCUGGUAACAUCAUCUAGUGAUGAUGGCCAAGAGCAGAGUGGUUUGUUAUGAGUGUCUGAUUCUUAGUGAACUCAGCAUUCAUUGGCCUUCAGGCCUUGAUCUUUGCUCCCUGUGAGCAAUCACCCUGCCACUGCUCCCUGCGAGCAACCGUCCUGCUGCUGCUCGCUACGAGCAAUCGCUCUGCCGCUGCUCCCUGCGAGCAAUCGCCCUGCCUCCGCCCUGCCUCUGCUCUCUGUGAGCAAUCACUCUGCCACUGCUCACUACGAGCAAUCGCCCUGCCGCUGCUCCCUGCGAGCAAUCAUCCUGCUGCUGCUCGCUACGAGCAAUCGCCCUGCCUCCGCCCUGCCUCUGCUCUCUGUGAGCAAUCACCCUGCCACUGCUCACUACGAGCAAUCGCCCUGCCGCUGCUCCCUGCGAGCAAUCGCCCUGCCGCUGCUCCCUGUGAGCAAUCGCCCUGCCUCCGCCCUGCCUCCGCCCUGCCUCUGCUCUCUGUGAGAGCAAUCACCCUGCCGCUGCUCACUACGAGCAAUCGCCCUGCCGCUGCUCCCUGCGAGCAAUCACCCUGCCUCCGCCCUGCCUCCGCCCUGCCUCUGCUCUCUGUGAGAGCAAUCACCCUGCCGCUGCUCACUACGAGCAAUCGCCCUGCCGCUGCUCCCUGCGAGCAAUCACCCUGCCGCUGCUCACUACGAGCAAUCGCCCUGCCGCUGCUCCCUGCGAGCAAUCGCCCUGCCGUAGCACUUGUGUGCUUUGAUUAUCUCUACCAUGAAUGGCCAUACGUCGGGCCAGAAGUGGAUGAACAGUCUAUAUAAACUGAGUCUUCUCAAGAGUUGCUAUCUGGAUCCUGUGUCUAUCAUUACUGUGUAUAUAGAGAUUUCUCCAGCGUAGCACGUCCCCAUGCCCUUCGGAAGGCUUUUGAAGUGCAGGCAUUGCCUGUGUCUUCUCUGAGACACUAAACCAAUACAUACAUACAUACAUACAGCAGCAGUUCUAUCAGAAAUCACACUAUAACUUUAUUAUAAAUGAUUAUACAUUGAUUCAGAAGUGAAUAUGCAGCUUAGUAAAAUUCUUUUCAAUGAGUUGAAUUUUUUCAAAAGUUGUCAUCUGAAUUCUGUUUUCUCUUUCUCUGUGUAUAUAGAAAUCUCUUCAGUGUAGUAUGUUUUCAUAUUCUUCAGAAAACUUCUGAAACACAGACACUGUCUGUGUUUUCUCUGAGACAUUAAAUCAAUACAAAUAAACAAAC
rnacentral:sRNA from 1 species